rnacentral:lncRNA from 1 species
UAGAAAACAACAUAGCUUUCAAAUGAUUAUAAUAACAUAAGUUUCAAAUACAUUGCUAGCAUAAGUGACAUCCUCCGACAAAAGCAUGUAGAUGAGAACACUAUAUAUAAUCACCGAGCCCACCAGCAGUUAGCCACCAUCCUUAGCAGGCUGAAGACUUCACCUGCAACAUGGUGGGAUAAACCCUGAGUACUCAAAUGUACUCAGCUAGACUUACCUGACAGGAGAGAAAAUAAAAGACUCUCAAAGAUAUGCAAGGCUAUUUGGUGGAGUUGGUUGGAUAGCAUAACUUUGCCAAAAAGAGCAUUACUAUCACGAGUCCUUACUUUCAACCUUUUAGUCAAUAUUUUAGCAUCAAGUUCGGUUAAGCUACCAUAGCUAGAUUUUGCACCUAUUCUAUAGCAAUCACUUGAUUAUUAAGCAUCACAUUAAUAACCAUAUCCGGUUUAUCAUAUAGCCAUCAUCAUCAUCAUAACCAUUAUGUUUCAUUUAGUGUAUCUACGUUGCCGCUGCUCGAGUCAAGUUCUCACUAUCCGGGAGAGACGGCGAUUCGAAUCGAUUCCUAUCCAGCUGGAGGGGUAUUCCUAGCACUCACCCAAGCAUACCUCGCGAGGGCAGCUCGGAUCACCUUUAGCACAACUCCGAACCAAUUCGCGGGUCCGUCCAGCGCCGCACCCCCAGGGACCGCCAAUCUGCCAGGGCAGGACUCUAACCUGACACCUUGGGCUUACGCCAUUGACUCCCCGCACAUCCUUGCUACCAACCGGGGUGCGCACUCAUACAGAACGGGGUAUCCGGCCUGAGUUGCACUCGUAGGCUUCGCGGUCGGAACGACUUAUCCGGCCAACUAAGUGUUAGGCAUGCGUUCAACAUGACACAAGGACGUACAGCGAUUCGGUCCUUAACCGACACAGACGGGGAUAGAUUCACACUCAAGACCUCCAUGCCUUGUUGCUUCACUAUCGUCAUCCCACCCGAUCUCAAAUUCAUUAUUAGCACAUGGUUAUUUCCACGAUAGCAAAUAUAGCCAACCGUGAUCAGGUAUCCACCAAUCUCUCGCAGGUGACAGGAAAUCACCUGGCUUCUACCGAGCUAAGCAUAGCUAAGCAUAGAACGUCUUCCUUAUACUAGUAAGGGUUCAGGUAGUUUCGUAUAGUGGACAAGGUAGGAAUAUAUGCACCAACGGUUUCAUUCAACUCCAAUCACCUAAUGCAUCAUAUAAAGUUAUACUCUUGUGCUUUUAUAAAAAGAGAGGGUAGGAGACUUAGAAUGCUCCGGGGCUUGCCUGGAAUCCGACACAAGUCAGUUAAGUUAGCUUGCGCCAUCUUGACGGCAUCCAAGUUCACAACACUUGUGUAGUCCUUCAAUCAUCCCGAUAGGUCCACCAUCACGUCCUUCACGCGGUUCAUCUAGCGUACCUAGAUGACAAGCAUGAUGCAAGUGCAUGAACACAUUUUCAUAGGAUCACAUAACACUAAUUAACACCACCAAGACAUGAGUCACUUAAAACCACACACAAUGUAAGUUAAUCAAGCAUUCAUGCAUUUUUAGCAAAUUCUGGACAUACAUGCAACAGUUGAGUAAAUAAAUCAUAACCAGAGUUAUACAGAUCCAAAAUCCAUGCAACAAGACAUUAUGAAAAGCUUAUAAAAUUGUAUACAAUUCAUAUUUAAUCAUCUUAGCAUGAUUAGUAAGUUACCUAAGUCAAACAUGCAUAUUUAUAGAAUCUGGUCCAGGAAUUCCAGACAACAAGCAUUUUGACAAAUAAACUUUAUACCCUUAUAACUCACAAACCAUUUAUCCAAAUGAUAAGAAACUCUAACACAAGCUAGAAAAAAGAGUUAUCUACAACUUUUCUAUAUACAAUUUUCACAGCAAACAUAAUUUAUACUAUGAAAUUCAUUGCACAAUCAGGACUGCUCCUGUUGCCCCAAACAGUAGGGUACAAUUAUAGGCAGAAAACUGAUAGACACUUUAAACAAGCAUAACUGGAGUUGUAGACCUCCAACAAACAUGAUUAUUAACUUCACAGAAAGCUUAUAAAGUUACCUACAACUUUAUUAUUAUCAUCUAAAGAUGAUUUCAUAGUUAACAAGGUCAAUUAACCCCAUGAAGACAUCUCUGUCCAAAGCAUAGACAGGACCUGUCAUGCCACAUUAAACAGUUAUAACAUCAUUUUCACAUGUCCACAAAUUAUGAUUAUGGACUCUCUAGAAAUCUUACUAAAUCGUGAACAACUUUGUUAUAAACAUCAAGAGCUCAUUCUAUCACUAAAAUAUCACACAUAGCAAUAUACCAAGCAAACAACUAUAAAAGCAAUCUAUCAUUUUUAGGACAGCCCACAACAGCUUCUUGUUUAAAUCAUAACUGGAGUUACAUAACUCCAAAAGACAUGCAAGAAGAUAUUAUGGAAAGCUUAAGAAGUUAUAUACAUUUGAUAUUUAGACAUCAAAGCAUGAUUGUCAACUUAAGCUAGUCGAAAUAUUAGGAUUACUGAAUCAGGUCCUAACAGGACAGAGAGCAACCAUUUCUGAAACCCAAAUUUAAACAGCCAUAACAUACAAACCACAUAACCAAUUACCACCAAAUUUUAAAAGCAGCUAUAUGGAUGAAUUAUCUACAACUUUGCUAUAAACAAGAUUCCCAGAAAAUAAAAUAAUCAUGAUGUAAUUGUCUAGGCAACAGAAACUAUACUAAAAAUCAUUUUCAGAAAAUAGAUACAUUUCAUUAAAGUUCCCAACAUGAAUCUGGGCAAAGACCAAUGUUGCCAACAGUUGACAUACAUCAAAUAAAGGCUACGAAACAUAGUGAACAUUCCGAAAUAAAUUCUUCACAUGCCAUUUGAAUAAUCAUAGCAACCUCUAUUAAUGGACAAAUUGCUAUGCAAGAAAACAUGUGAGAGCAAGAUAAAACUAAAGAUUACCAUGUUCGGUAAACACAUUGCUAUGUUAGUAUUUCUCAGGCCACAAUAUCACCAUAACAUGGCAACG